UACGGGGGGGCAAGCGUUGUUCGGAAUUACUGGGCGUAAAGGGCUCGUAGGCGGCCAACUAAGUCAUACGUGAAAUCCCUCGGCUUAACCGGGGAACUGCGUCUGAUACUGGAUGGCUUGAGUUCGGGAGAGGGAUGCGGAAUUCCAGGUGUAGCGGUGAAAUGCGUAGAUAUCUGGAGGAACACCGGUGGCGAAGGCGGCAUCCUGGACCGAUACUGACGCUGAGGAGCGAAAGCCAGGGAGCAAAGCGGG
rnacentral:rRNA from 1 species